rnacentral:rRNA from 1 species
UACGGAGGGUGCAAGCGUUAUCCGGAUUCACUGGGUUUAAAGGGUGCGUAGGUGGGGAGGUAAGUCAGCGGUGAAAUCCCCGAGCUUAACUUGGGAACUGCCAUUGAUACUAUCUCUCUUGAAUACCUUGGAGGUGAGCGGAAUAUGUCAUGUAGCGGUGAAAUGCUUAGAUAUGACAUAGAACACCAAUUGCGAAGGCAGCUCACUACACGGUCAUUGACACUGAGGCACGAAAGCGUGGGGAU